rnacentral:snRNA from 1 species
GUCGUUGCUUAAGUUGAGGAA